CCCGAAGAGAUAAUCAUCGCCUGCUGACAAUCACUUGCCAUCAGUUAUCCACACGCGGCUGCUGGCGAUGAAUCACGGCCCCUACCUGGUGGGAGAGGCGCCGCUGGUGCCACUGAGGCAUUUCGCCAGUAAUGUAUAACGGGGGAGGACGUCAGACGCUCUUUCCAGACAGCCUGAGAGAUUGAUAUUCAAGCCAAAGGGAAAUGCAUUAAACUAUUUAACUGCCUGGAAAUCCAGCGUGAUGAACAUCCAAAGGGAACUCCUGGGGACUCCUUCCUAAAAACCAGCAGUGGCCUGAUAUCAGCAUGGUUUUACUGGCCGUAACGCCAAGCACAGCUGGGUGCUCAGAAGGACCAAAGCCGUUCUCCCAGCCCUCGGAGCUUCUGCUGCCCCGCGGUGUGCUGCUCUAGGUGCUGUCAAACGAGCAAAUCGUGGCCGUCCCUCUUCCUGAGGAUAUCAGGACAGCAGACGGAAAAUAUUCCUCAUUGGAGCCCCAGUAUUUGACAGACAAAACAAUAAUCUUCCUAUUAAGCACAUCAAGCAGCCAGGUAAAGGGAGGCUUUGCUGGCAUCGCCCAGGAUGCUCUGAUGACAGCUCCUGGACUUGAGUGAGGGCUUUGAAGCACAGCGAGGGGCUUUCUGACACAACCCUUGGCGGAGGGGAUGCUCCUGAGGACACACAACAUGCUGCAAGAGGAAGACUAAUUUUAUCAAAAUUAAGUACUCAAAUGGUGAUGAAAUCAAGUGCUCACAAGCUGCCUGUCUCACCCUUCAGUGCCGCUGCAACUUGCGUAACAUGGAACAAAUGGAGCUGAGGAGGUCACGGCCCUCCAAGCAGCUCCAGGAAAUCCUUAUCUGCUGUGAACCUCAUGGGUUUGGCCACCUGCUUCUCAGCUGUCCUGAAGUACUGAGGAACUACUUCCUCAAAUGAUGUUGGGAUCGUCUACAGGGGCUCCACAUCUCUGUACUUCAGUCAUCUCAAAGCAGCCAAAAACUGGGUCAGGGCAAUGAUCCAAAAUUUUAGUGGUGAGCCUCCAAAAUUCAAGACACUCAGGGAAUGUGUGUUGGGGAAUAAUAUGAGAAUUCUGGAAAAAAAAAAUAGAGAAGAGAGUAUUUAAUUUGUACCCAAUACUGAUAUUUCAAAAUUUGGUAGUCAGUUUGGAACAAAACACAGCUGUUUGUUUUAAAUCCCUGUGAAAGCCGAGCCAGUUGCCUUUGAGCCUCAGACGCUGUCUGAACCCAUAGGUUUCUAACUUGCCACAAGGCAAUCCAUACGGUUGGCUGCUUCAAAU